rnacentral:rRNA from 1 species
GAACGCUGGCGGCGUGCCUAAUACAUGCAAGUCGAGCGAACAGAUGAGGAGCUUGCUCCUCUGACGUUAGCGGCGGACGGGUGAGUAACACGUGGAUAACCUACCUAUAAGACUGGGAUAACUUCGGGAAACCGGAGCUAAUACCGGAUAAUAUAUUGAACCGCAUGGGUCAAUAGUGAAAGACGGUUUUGCUGUCACUUAUAGAUGGAUCCGCGCCGCAUUAGCUAGUUGGUAAGGUAACGGCUUACCAAGGCGACGAUGCGUAGCCGACCUGAGAGGGUGAUCGGCCACCCUGGAACUGAGACACGGUCCAGACUCCUACGGGAGGCAGCAGUAGGGAAUCUUCCGCAAUGGGCGAAAGCCUGACGGAGCAACGCCGCGUGAGUGAUGAAGGUCUUCGGAUCGUAAAACUCUGUUAUUAGGGAAGAACAAAUGUGUAAGUAACUAUGCACGUCUUGACGGUACCUAAUCAGAAAGCCACGGCUAACUACGUG